CUAGCCUAAGAGUUUUUAGUAACGCCCGCCUGUCCGCCGUGUCCCGGCGUGCUGUCCACGUGAUUGUCAGCAGUUGCUUGCAGUUUCUCCUCGCUCCUUCACGUGAUUUCAUAUAAAAAAUCUGUACUCUAGACCAUUUUUUUUCCUAGAGCAUUUUUUUUAGUACCGUCCACGCAACCUGGUGGCAGUUCGGUAAGCUUCCGAUGCUCCAUUGUUUUAGAAUUACUUACCCGCUUCGUCCGUUGUUCUCGGCAUUCGUCAAGAUGGCUCCGGUCAGUGAUGGUGGUUGAUUAAUGUACCUUUUCGCACCAUAGUUUUUUUUUUUGGUAGACAUCUCACGUAGAAGUGGUGUUUUUAUUUGGUUUUAAAAGAUGACGUAAAGUCAGUGUAAAUUUCUUCAGCCUCCGAUUUCGGAGGUUUAACGUUUUGGAUCCGCUUCAAGUUCUUUACGUUUGGGUUAUUCUUUAACCUACCUUCAAACAUUUUGAAUUGUAUCUACGUCCUGUCGGCCCGGGAAGCAUGGUUCUGCGCCGGCUGCUGUACAAGUUUUCGUCUUGAACAUUUCACGGAUAUUUAUCAUCUUCAGCUAAGUCCGUUCUUUUUUAAUGAAUUAUUAUUAUUGUUUGUCGUCUAAACGUUUCGUCACCUAACGCUUACAAAAGAAAAAGACUUUCGUCGCCUAAUGUUGAGCAAAAGAUUUUAAUUACCUAAUGUUUCCAAAAAAGGACUUUAAUUACUUAAAUGAAGUAUUUUUUGUAUAAUGUUUUGUUUUGUUCCUGAAGAAGUUUUUAAUCUACAUGUAAAGUUAUAGACUCAAUUAGUAAAAUCUUAAUUAUGGAUAUAACAUGAUAUUUAAAUUUAUUAUAAAAACUAAAUAACUAAUAUAAAGUAAUUUUUAACAUUAUUAGCCUGUAAUUUGGGUGCACCCUAGGUUUACUAUUGAUAACAAAUAUUCCAUUUUAAUGAUAAUUUUAUGACUUUUGUUUACCUCUUCAGAUGAGUCAUUGUUUUUUUUUUUGUUUAGCUCUAAAUGUAUUUUCUAACUAAAUAUAUCACCACUUAUAGAUGAAGAUA